rnacentral:rRNA from 1 species
AACCGACACAGGUAGGCGAGAAGAGAAUUCUAAGGCGCGCGGAAGAACUCUCGUUAAGGAACUCGGCAAAAUGACCCCGUAACUUCGGGAGAAGGGGUGCCCCGGUAGUGUGUAUAGCACGAGGGGGCCGCAGUGAAAAGGCCCAAGCGACUGUUUAGCAAAAACACAGGUCUGUGCGAAGCCGUAAGGCGAAGUAUAGGGGCUGACGCCUGCCCGGUGCUGGAAGGUUAAGGGGAGCGGUUAGGAGCAAUCCGAAGCUGUGAACCGAAGCCCCAGUAAACGGCGGCCGUAACUAUAACGGUCCUAAG